rnacentral:rRNA from 1 species
CCCUUAGAUGUUCUGGGCCGCACGCGCGCUACACUGACUGCUCCAACAAGUUACCUGGGCUGACAAGCAUUCGGGAAAUCUUGCAAAGGCAGUCGUGAUGGGGAUAGAUUCUUGUAAUUUUUGAUCUUCAACGAGGAAUUCCUAGUAAACGCAAGUCAUCAGCUUGCAUUGAUUACGUCCCUGCCCUUUGUACACACCGCCCGUCGCAUCUACCGAUUGAAUGGAGAGGCAAAAUCUUCGGACCGUGACGCUUGGGAGUCAAAUCUCGGGCUGUCGUGGGAAGUGGAUUAAACCUUUCUAUUUAGAGGAAGGUAAAGUCGUAACA